rnacentral:rRNA from 1 species
CCUACGGGAGGCAGCAGUAGGGAAUCUUCCACAAUGGGCGAAAGCCUGAUGGAGCAACGCCGCGUGGGUGAAGAAGGUCUUCGGAUCGUAAAACCCUGUUGUUAGAGAAGAAAGUGCGUGAGAGUAACUGUUCACGUUUCGACGGUAUCUAACCAGAAAGCCACGGCUAACUACGUGCCAGCAGCCGCGGUAAUACGUAGGUGGCAAGCGUUAUCCGGAUUUAUUGGGCGUAAAGGGAACGCAGGCGGUCUUUUAAGUCUGAUGUGAAAGCCUUCGGCUUAACCGGAGUAGUGCAUUGGAAACUGGGAGACUUGAGUGCAGAAGAGGAGAGUGGAACUCCAUGUGUAGCGGUGAAAUGCGUAGAUAUAUGGAAGAACACCAGUGGCGAAAGCGACUCUCUAGUCUGUAACUGACGCUGAGGUUCGAAAGCGUGGGUAGCAAACAGGAUUAGAUACCCGUGUAGUC